rnacentral:rRNA from 2 species
UGGGGGAUAUUGCACAAUGGGCGAAAGCCUGAUGCAGCGACGCCGCGUGAGGGAAGACGGUCUUCGGAUUGUAAACCUCUGUCUUUGGGGAAGAAAAUGACGGUACCCAAAGAGGAAGCUCCGGCUAACUACGUGCCAGCAGCCGCGGUAAUACGUAGGGAGCAAGCGUUGUCCGGAAUUACUGGGUGUAAAGGGAGCGUAGGCGGGAUGGCAAGUAGAAUGUUAAAUCCAUCGGCUCAACCGGUGGCUGCGUUCUAAACUGCCGUUCUUGAGUGAAGUAGAGGCAGGCGGAAUUCCUAGUGUAGCGGUGAAAUGCGUAGAUAUUAGGAGGAACACCAGUGGCGAAGGCGGCCUGCUGGGCUUUAACUGACGCUGAGGCUCGAAAGCGUGGGGAGCAAACAGG